GAUGAACGCUGGCGGCGUGCUUAACACAUGCAAGUCGAACGAUGAAGCCCAGCUUGCUGGGUGGAUUAGUGGCGAACGGGUGAGUAACACGUGAGUAACCUGCCCUUAACUCUGGGAUAAGCCUGGGAAACUGGGUCUAAUACCGGAUAGGAGCGUCCACCGCAUGGUGGGUGUUGGAAAGAUUUAUCGGUUUUGGAUGGACUCGCGGCCUAUCAGCUUGUUGAUGAGGUAAUGGCUCACCAAGGCGACGACGGGUAGCCGGCCUGAGAGGGUGACCGGCCACACUGGGACUGAGGCACGGCCCAGACUCCUACGGGAGGCAGCAGUGGGGAAUAUUGCACAAUGGGCGCAAGCCUGAUGCAGCGACGCCGCGUGAGGGAUGACGGCCUUCGGGUUGUAAACCUCUUUCAGUAGGGAAGAAGCGAAAGUGACGGUACCUGCAGAAGAAGCACCGGCUAACUACGUG
rnacentral:rRNA from 1 species